rnacentral:ncRNA from 1 species
UCCCGAUAAUAGCAAAUCAACCGAAAGGUUGAGACGCAAAGUCACAGACCUAAGGCUAUUAAGUUAGCUAAGGUGGCUGAGCUACCGAA